CCCCGGGAAACCGGAGCUAAUACCGGAUACGAGACGGAGUCGCAUGGCUACCGUCUGGAAAGUUUUUCGGUCUGGGAUGGACUCGCGGCCUAUCAGCUAGUUGGUGAGGUAACGGCUCACCAAGGCGACGACGGGUAGCCGGCCUGAGAGGGUGGACGGCCACAUUGGGACUGAGAUACGGCCCAG
rnacentral:rRNA from 1 species